rnacentral:rRNA from 1 species
UGAGGAAUAUUGGGCAAUGCCCGCAAGGGUGACCCAGCAACGCCGCGUGGAGGAUGAAUGUCGUAAGAUUGUAAACUCCUGUUAGAGGGGAAGAAUAGUACCGGUUGGACCGGUAUAUGACUGUACCCUCAGAGAAAGCCCCGGCUAACUACGUGCCAGCAGCCGCGGUAAUACGUAGGGGGCAAGCGUUGUCCGGAUUUACUGGGUGUAAAGGGCGCGCAGGCGGGAUAAAAAGUCAGUGGUGAAAUCCUACAGCUUAACUGUAGAACUGCCUUUGAUACUUUUAUUCUUGAGUUCGGGAGAGAGAGACGGAAUUCCAGGUGUAGUGGUGAAAUACGUAGAUAUCUGGAAGAACACCAGUUGCGAAGGCGGUCUCUUGGUCCGACACUGACGCUGAGGCGCGAAAGCGU